AACGCGAAGAACCUUACCUGGGCUUGACAUGUCCCUGACCGCCGUGGAAACACGGUUUCCCUUCGGGGCAGGGUCACAGGUGGUGCAUGGCUGUCGUCAGCUCGUGUCGUGAGAUGUUGGGUUAAGUCCCGCAACGAGCGCAACCCCCGUCGCAUGUUGCCAGCAUUUAGUUGGGGACUCAUGCGAGACUGCCGGUGACAAACCGGAGGAAGGUGGGGAUGACGUCAAGUCAUCAUGCCCCUUAUGUCCAGGGCUACACACGUGCUACAUUGGCGCGUACAGAGGGCUGCGAUACCGCGAGGUGGAGCGAAUCCCUCAAAGCGCGUCUCGGUUCGGAUUGCAGGCUGAAACUCGCCUGCAUGAAGGCGGAGUUGCUAGUAAUCGCGGAUCAGCACUGCCGCGGUGAAUACGUUCCCGGGCCUUGUACACACCGCGCAUA
rnacentral:rRNA from 1 species